rnacentral:rRNA from 1 species
CCUACGGGUGGCAGCAGUGAGGAAUAUUGGUCAAUGGACGCAAGUCUGAACCAGCCAUGCCGCGUGCAGGAAGACGGCUCUAUGAGUUGUAAACUGCUUUUGUACGAGGGUAAACGCAGAUACGCGUAUCUGUCUGAAAGUAUCGUACGAAUAAGGAUCGGCUAACUCCGUGCCAGCAGCCGCGGUAAUACGGAGGAUUCAAGCGUUAUCCGGAUUUAUUGGGUUUAAAGGGUGCGUAGGCGGUCGGAUAAGUUAGAUGUGAAAUCCCGAGGCUCAACUUCGGAAUUGCCUCUGAUACUGGUCGGCUAGAGAGUAGUUGCGGUAGGCGGAAUGUAUGGUGUAGCGGUGAAAUGCUUAGAUAUCAUACAGAACCCCGAUUGCGAAGGCAGCUUACCAAGCUACUUCUGACGUUGAGGCACGAAAGCGUGGGGAGCGAACAGGAUUAGAUACCCGGGUAGUC